GCUUCCCGACCUUAAUCCUUUCACAGCAGCAGCUUCUGUGGGUCUUAAGAUAAAAAUGAAUGGAAAAGCUUUACAGCCAACCUAGAGAAAGAGUUUAAGUAUUCAAGCAGCAAGAAGAGGCAGGUUUGGACUGAUGUAUUUGCUGGUCUAAACAUGCAUCCUGUUACUGCUUCAAUGCUUAAGCUGUUCCUCUCUGUCCAGAGAAUAAUCUUGGUUGGAAGGGAUCUUUUUUAGCCCAGUGCCCCACUCGGUGCAGGGCCAGUUGGCUGACAUUGGUUGUAAAGCUUUUCUCUUUGCUUGUAAGUAGACGAGACCCAAUUUCAGGAGCAUGCGGCCAAGCGUUAGUCUCUUUGUUAACAGGCAUAGGGAGUUAUGUAGCUGAGCUGCAAAAGUUCAUCCUCUGAAACAAGAGCAAGUGAAGAUUUGGUGGUGAAAAUCUGGGGCCAAAUAAGGUUUUGAGUAAGAGCUGGGACAGUAAAUCAGGGUCGAGUUUUGAGCUCCGUCCAGUCACUGCACCAAAAUAAAAAGGCAAGAGAAGGAAACCAGGGAGUGGAGUGCCCCCAGCUUCUUUCUGUGUCACAGGAUACUUGGAAGGAGUUUUAUAAAGAUCCUUCCAUCCCUGGUUAAAUGUUUAGCAGCAGCUCAGUGAUGCUAGUAGGGGCAGUGACCUCUCUCGAUGCUGCUAAGCUUCUGCAAGCAGGCAGAAAGUUAACUGGAAAAGACGAAUCUGUGGGCAGUAACAGCUAUUUUAAAAAGCUGAGAGAAAUAAUCCCCCUCAGCUACAAAAUGAUCUUCAGUAAAUUGUUGGGAUACCAGCUGUCAAGUCAAUGUUCUGGUUCCUUAGCGUGCCCAUCUGUGCCGAUCCUGCGUCGGCUCUCUGCGAGUGCUCGGUGCUGUUUGGUUGCUGCUGAUCUCUCUUUAAAUAUGAGACGCGGCAGAGAUGUCUUGCUUGAUGCGGUUCAGUUCUGCGUUCCCUUAAGCUGUGUGCAAGUCACAUGGGACUUAUUAUGAACACAGAUCCUCUUUGGCUUCUCUCUGCCUGCACCCUGCAUCUGAAACGCUCUCUGGAUCCCCUGUGUCCCACUGCAGCCUCUUCUAAGCUGGUUAUGAAACUCUGUGUUAUCCGGUUCCCUCCAAUGAUGGUUCAAAACUGCUGUCAAUCCUCAGUCUCUGGUUAAUCCGGAGGAGGUGUGUUGAUGCAAAGGGGAAGGAGGGAAGGCAUUUGGGAUAGAAAGUCUUUCUCUUUCAGUGUAUAGGAUCUAGUUUUGAUGCCGUUUAAUACCUCUUCUUUUUUUUUUUUUUUUUUUUCUCCUUUGUACAGGCAGUGUCUUUCAAGUAGGUGGUUCUUGAAAUUAAAAGUACUUGAACAGGGAAGCAGCCCUGGAAACAAUCUACCUGAAGCUGGGAGGCAGCACUCUUACAAAAUCAAACAGCCCUUAAGAUUGGAAGAGAGGCAUUUGACAGUAUACGUGGUUAGCCUUGCUUCAUUCAGAGGUAAACUUGCCGUUGCCAGGGCAAGGCUAACCCUCUGUCCUAAGGCUGACAGCGCCAGCUUCUUAAAGCCUAGCUCAGCUUUCCCUGGGGUAAGCUGUCUGGUUUCAGACUGCAUCAGCGUGCAAAAGAUCGUUAGAGCAGGGCAGGCUUGUGCUGAAAUACCUGGUGUCCAUCAGCAGUCGGCUCUGGCACAGAGGUAAGGCUUGGCUCUGUGAUCGCUACCCUGCUCGGUCCUUUCCGGGGCGAGGAGGAGCGUGCUGUACUGCAGAGCAUGCGACAGCAGCACGGAGAUGGCUCUGUCUAACGUUAUAUCUCUAUGCAUCCUUGGUACAGGAAGGCCAGAGGUCCCUGCAGGAACCAAGAUCCUUCUCUCGGCCUCUUGGAGCUUCUUCGCCUGCAUUAAGCUGCUGACCCCAUGACUCUUAAUUUGUGCAACCCCAACUUGUAGGGUGAGGUGAGGCUUUGGGACACUGUCGGUUGUUGUCCCUUCCGCCUCUCCCGCUUGCUUCGGUGCCGGCUGGCCAGAGCCGCAGCAGCUUGUUCUCCCGUGAACCCCACUCUGUCUCCGUCUUGGGCAGACACCACGAAAUGUGCUUGGCUGCGCCAUCUGCGUUGUUACGCCUGGGUGCGUUUUUGGCCUCCUCGGUGGUUAACAGAAAUAGAUUUUAAUUAAAAGCUCAUUAUCGAGUUGUCGUGUAGCAUUAGUAAAUAAAAAUAACUUUUACAGCCCUGUCUUGUGGCUUAGUAAGUGGCAAUUGAAAGUAUUUGACAUCACUUUAUUUUUUAAAAAAUGGAAGAAUAUUGCAUAUUUGAUUCCCUGUUUGCUCUAAAUGGGCUUUAAAUACAAAUAAAUGGUUAUCUGUGGCACUUCUGUUACCAUUCAAGUCCAGAAGGAGAAAUAAAUGCAGUCUGCAGUCUCAAAGUUA